UCUCGAUUGGUCUAGUGGUCAGGAUACCUGCUUGUCAUCACACUACUGUCUAGUUCACAAUGUGGACACCCAGAAGUCAUGAAAAUCCGCAGGUGGCCGGGGUUCGAUUCCCCGAUCGAGAG
rfam:Fungal sp. No.14919 DNA, contig: Contig0087.